UAUACUGGGGUGUGUUUUGAAAUAUCAAACUGUGACACGUUAGAAUAACCUGCAGAAUUUUAUUUUUAAACGAGUUGAUGUGACUUUUGAUUAAAGUUAUUUUACAGGUAAGGAAAGUCCAUAUAGUAUAGGACAGAGACCUAAAACAAUAUUUAUAUUUUACAGGUCAGGACCGUCCGUUUGCUAUAGAACUGUAACCUGAAGCACAAUGAAAAUUUUCUUUCUCCUGAUCGUCUGCUUAGCCGCAUCUCAUGCUCUUCCCAAAGGAGGUUUGUCCAAAAGACAUGGAUACUUUGGUCACCAACGAUUUAUAGUUAAAUGUAACUGGGAGUUCGAGCCUUGUGGUGUUAUUAAUGGGGAAUCCCAUGGAGAAUGCUGUCAGGCCUUCCAUUGCAGCAGCUGGUCUCGAUUUUGUCUGUUAGAGUGAAGCGACUCAAGUUUCUGAGCAAGAUGAUGAGAUUAGACGCCACUGAUGGACAUUAAAAUAAAUCACUGAA